AUGCUCCGACUGCUCACCCUCCUCCUCUCUAGCACCACCACCAUAGCUGCCCAAAGCCCGCCGACGUGCGAGCCAGCGUCGUGCGGCGACCUCCGAAUCACGUACCCGUUCUGGCUCGGCGGCACGCACCCGCCGGAGUGCGGCUACCGUGCCUUCCAGGUCACGUGCGACGACCGCGCCGGCAGCAAGGCCUUACUCGAGCACUCAGUUUGGACGUACCAGAUCCUCGACAUCUCCUAUCAAGACAGUUCGCUGCGCAUCACAAAUGUCGAGCUCUCCCACAGCAUGUGCAACACCGAGCUCCAACUCCAAGUGACCGCCUCCUCCAACCUCAGCCUCGCGCCUUUUGGCAUCAGCGCCGCCAACCAGGAGCUCUUCUUCCUCUACAACUGCAGCGCCCUGCCGCCUCCGCCUACAUGGGCGCCCAUGAACUGCGCCACUGGAUCCAAGCGGCCGCUCAACAACUCAUUUGCGUGGCUUGCUGGGGCGUACAAGCCAGACGACAUUUCGAGGCAGGUGCACGGGAACUGCACGGCGUCGAUGAUGCCAGUGCUCGGGUACAAGGGGGCGACCGGGGUGGACUACCAGCGGCUGAUGGAGGGCGGGUUCCUUCUUGAGUACACGGCCGGCGACUGUGCGGCGUGCAUGGAGAGCCGAGGAACUUGCCGGACUAAUACCACCAACGAUAUCUUCCAGUGCCACUGCCCCGACGGAUUUUCUUCGUCCAACAUCUGCGCUAUCAUGAAGACCGGCACGAAAAUUGUACUAAUAGUUUUGGCAGUAACAGCUGCAACCUUGAUCUCCCUCUGUUUUUAUCUGCUGAGGCAUAUAAAGAUAAGACUAUGGAUUCCCCUUAGCAAGAAGACUAGCAGCAACACUGAAAAGAAUUAUGAGGCAAUGAUUGCAGCAUAUGGAUCCCUAGCUCCUAUAAGAUACAUGUACUCGGAGGUAAUGAAGAUAACGUAUUCUUGUAAGAAACAACUUGGAAAAGGUGGUUAUGGUGUGGUUUUCAAAGGAAGGCUACCUGAUGGUCGUUUGGUUGCUGUGAAAUUCUUGCACGAUUGCAAAGGAAACGGAGACGAGUUUGUGAAUGAGGUUCUGAGCAUUGGAAGGACCUCUCAUGUUAAUGUUGUUAGCUUAUUUGGGUUUUGUUUGGAGGGAUCAAAGCGAGCUCUUAUAUAUGAGUAUAUGCCUAAUGGUUCCUUGGAUAAGUACAUUUACUCACAGAACCCCAAAGAAAUUUUAGGAUGGGAGAGGCUCUAUGCAAUAGCAAUCGGGAUUGCUCGUGGCCUUGAGUACUUACAACAUAGAUGUAAUACUCGUAUUGUCCAUUUCGAUAUCAAGCCUCAAAAUAUCCUUCUAGACAAGGAAUUUAGCCCAAAGAUUGCUGAUUUUGGUCUAGCUAAAUUAUGUCAUACAAAGGAGAGUAAGCUUUCAAUGACCGGUACUAGAGGAACAAUUGGGUUCAUUGCUCCGGAAGUCCACUCUCGAACCUUUGGAGUGGUUUCAACAAAAUCAGAUGUUUAUAGUUAUGGAAUGAUGUUGUUGGAGAUGGUUGGAGGUAGGAGAAAUGUCAAAUCAAUUGUAAACAAAUCUAGCGAAAAGUAUUUUCCAGAUUGGAUUUACGACCACUUUGCCCAAGAUGAAGGAUUAAAAGCAUGUGAAGUUACAAGCGAAGUUGAGGAAAUUGCGAGAAAGAUGACCUUAAUUGGCUUGUGGUGCAUACAAGUAUUACCUAUAUAUCGCCCCACUAUAACAAAAGUUCUAGAAAUGUUUGAGAAAAGCUUGGAUGAUUUGGAUAUGCCACCAAAGCAGAGCUUCUGUGAACUACUUGAGAGUCCAAGUAAUAAUAUGGAAGUACAAAGUGCAUGGUCUGAGACUGAGGAGAUUGAAACAUUGGAGAUACGCCAUGUCAAGGAUAUGCCCCCCGCAAGGGAUAUUGCCUAG
rnacentral:rRNA from 1 species